UACAGAGGGUGCGAGCGUUGUCCGGAAUCACUGGGCGUAAAGGGCGCGUAGGCGGCUUGAUAAGGUUGCGGUGAAAGCCCGGGGCUCAACCCCGGGUCGGCCGUGGCAACUGUCGAGCUGGAGCACUGUAGAGGCAGGUGGAAUUCCGGGUGUAGCGGUGGGAUGCGUAGAGAUCCGGAAGAACACCGGUGGCGAAGGCGGCCUGCUGGGCAGUGGCUGACGCUGAGGCGCGACAGCGUGGGGAGCAAACGGG
rnacentral:rRNA from 1 species